UUUUUUUUGGAUUACUCCAUCCGGUAUCCCAGGGAAAUAGGCGUCUUUCAGCCGUGACAACGUCCCCAGACUAAUCCGGAUUCGGGGGCUUGCAAGGAUCCAUACGGACGGCGCCCCCUGGCCCCUUGGAGUGCUGCGUUCCCACAUGCUAGAUUUGAUUUA